rnacentral:rRNA from 1 species
UGCAGUCGAACGGUGAAGCCCUUCGGGGUGGAUCAGUGGCGAACGGGUGAGUAACACGUGGGCAAUCUGCCCUGCACUCUGGGACAAGCCCUGGAAACGGGGUCUAAUACCGGAUACGACCUUCCCCUGCAUGGGGGUUGGUGGAAAGCUCCGGCGGUGCAGGAUGAGCCCGCGGCCUAUCAGCUUGUUGGUGGGGUAAUGGCCUACCAAGGCGACGACGGGUAGCCGGCCUGAGAGGGCGACCGGCCACACUGGGACUGAGACACGGCCCAGACUCCUACGGGAGGCAGCAGUGGGGAAUAUUGCACAAUGGGCGAAAGCCUGAUGCAGCGACGCCGCGUGAGGGAUGACGGCCUUCGGGUUGUAAACCUCUUUCAGCAGGGAAGAAGCGCAAGUGACGGUACCUGCAGAAGAAGCACCGGCUAACUACGUGCCAGCAGCCGCGGUAAUACGUAGGGUGCGAGCGUUGUCCGGAAUUAUUGGGCGUAAAGAGCUCGUAGGCGGCCUGUCGCGUCGGAUGUGAAAGCCCGGGGCUUAACCCCGGGUCUGCAUUCGAUACGGGCAGGCUGGAGUGUGGUAGGGGAGAUCGGAAUUCCUGGUGUAGCGGUGAAAUGCGCAGAUAUCAGGAG